rnacentral:rRNA from 1 species
CUACGGGCGGCACCAGUGGGGAAUAUUGCACAAUGGGCGAAAGCCUGAUGCAGCAACGCCGCGUGAGGGACGACGGCCUUCGGGUUGUAAACCUCUUUUAGCAGGGAAGAAGCGAAAGUGACGGUACCUGCAGAAAAAGCACCGGCUAACUACGUGCCAGCAGCCGCGGUAAUACGUAGGGUGCAAGCGUUGUCCGGAAUUAUUUGGCGUAAAGAGCUCGUAGGCGGUUUGUCGCGUCUGCUGUGAAAAUCCGAGGCUCAACCUCGGACCUGCAGUGGGUACGGGCAAACUAGAGUGCGGGAGGGGAGAUUGGAAUUCCUGGUGUAGCGGUGGAAUGCGCAGAUAUCAGGAGGAACACCAAUGGCGAAGGCAGAUCUCUGGGCCGUAACUGACGCUGAGGAGCGAAAGCGUGGGGAGCGAACAGGAUUAGAUACCCCAGUAGUC